rnacentral:rRNA from 1 species
UAGAGUUUGAUCCUGGCUCAGAACGAACGCUGGCGGCGUGCCUAACACAUGCAAGUCGAACGGAAUUAAGGGGCUUGCUCCUUAAUUUAGUGGCGCACGGGUGAGUAACGCGUGGAUAAUCUGCCUGAUGCUCUGGGAUAACAUCUCGAAAGGGGUGCUAAUACCGGAUAAGCCCACGGAUUCUUCGGAGUUUGCGGGAAAAGGAGGGGACCUUCGGGCCUUCCGACAUCAGAUGAGUCCGCGUCCCAUUAGCUAGUUGGUGGGGUAAUGGCCUACCAAGGCGACGAUGGGUAGCUGGUCUGAGAGGAUGAUCAGCCACACUGGAACUGAGACACGGUCCAGACUCCUACGGGAGGCAGCAGUGGGGAAUUUUGCGCAAUGGGGGAAACCCUGACGCAGCAACGCCGCGUGAGUGAUGAAGGCCUUCGGGUCGUAAAGCUCUGUCAGAGGGAAAGAAAUGUGGGUGGCUAAUAUCCAUUCCACUUGACGGUACCCUCAAAGGAAGCACCGGCUAACUCCGUGCCAGCAGCCGCGGUAAUA